rnacentral:lncRNA from 1 species
CACUUUCUGCCAUAAGAGUGGUGUCAUCUGCAUAUCUGAAGUGAUUGAUAAUUCUCCCGGCAACCUUGAUUCAAGCUUGUGCUUUCUCCAGCCCAGCGUUUCUCAUGAUUAGUUUGUAUUAGGCAGCUAAGGCAGUUAUACAAGCAGGAUGUCAACUUAAGCUAAAUGUCUGGGGAAACAUUAGUACGUAAAGUAUUGGUUUUAGCUUCUAAAUAUUAUCUGCUGUAAGUUUCCAGUUGGCAGCUUCCAAAUGGAGAAGUGUUCUGUUCACCUUAGUUCUGAGGAAAGAAAUGUCUAGGGGUGAAGAUACACUGUAAUCAAGUAAUUCAAGAUUUUGACACUACGGGAACUUGAAUAAAGAAAUCCAAAAGGAAAUUAUUAUCAUUAUUGUCAUCUUUAUAUUUGCCAGUAAUAUUUUAUAAUGCUGUUCAGGUCUGUAGUGUCUAGAAUACAAUGCAAGCUUUUGAGUCAGGCAGACUUGAGAGGCCAUCUUUGCUCUGGCAUUUGCUCACUCUGUGGCUUGCUACAUUACUUUGAAUCAGUUAUAUACUUGACUUUUAAAGUCUUGUUCUCACCUGAGGAAAGAAGAUAAUAUCAGAAACUACCUUGCAAGAUUAACCGGAGAAUUGAAUAACAUGUUAAAUAAUGGAUUUGGUUUUGACAAAGUUCCUGGUUUAAAGAAAACAACAAAAAUUCUAUAGACACGAGAAGCAAAUAACCUGUAAGGACAGUUGAAUUGAUAAAUACUUCUUCUUUCUCCACUUCCCUAUCUCUGCAUGAACUUGAAGGUAACUGGGCUGAAAUAUGAAGCUGACAGACUUCCUCCUGACUGCCCAGCCUCUGCUUCUUUGCCCUCUGCCACUGCUGCAGCUCACCCUGCCUAGGUCUUAGGAUCCUAUUUGGUUCUUCCUCGUUCCUUUCAAGCCAAAUCUGGAAGUACUGGCCGACAGUUAACACACGUUCAGUUCAGUUCAGUUCAGUCGCUCAGUUGUGUCCAACUCUUUGCGAC